rnacentral:rRNA from 1 species
AUACGCACCAAAGACCAGUCCCACGUUCGGAUAAGAGGCUGAAACUCGCCUGCAUGAAGCUGGAAUCGCUAGUAAUCGCGGAUCAGAAUGCCGCGGUGAAUACGUUCCCGGGUCUUGUACACACCGCCCGUCACACCAUGGGAGUCGGAAAUGCCCGAAGUCUGUGACCCAACCUCAGGGAGGGAGCAGCCGAAGGCAGGUCGGAUGACUGGGGUGAAGUCGUAACAAGGUAGC